UUUUUUUUUAAUGUCUUCUUCUUUCUCUUUUUUCUCUUAUGUUUUAAAAAUUGACUAGUGAAUAUACCUAUUUGACCGUUGGUGAAACUGUAAUAUCUGUGGCAUACUUAGUGUGUUUUCAUAUGUUGAUUGAGACUCUAUGACCAGUACUUUACUAUAACUGUUUCUCUAAAUAUCUUUAACCCAAGUACACAAGAUUCAUAAAAGAAAGACCACCUUGGGAGGGAA
rnacentral:misc_RNA from 1 species